rnacentral:rRNA from 1 species
AUUGAAUGCUGGCGGCAGGCCUAACACAUGCAAGUCGAGCGAGCGGCGGACGGGUGAGUAAUGUAUGGGGACUGCCCGAUCGAGGGGGAUAACUACUGGAAACGGUGGCUAAUACCGCAUACUAUCGGAUAACCCAUAUGGGAUUAGCUAGUAGGUGGGGUAAAGGAUCACCUAGGCGACGAUCUCUAGCUGGUCUGAGAGGAUGAUGAUCCACACUGGGACGAAGACACGGCCUAGACGCCGCCGGAGGAAGCAGUGGGGAAUAUUGCACAAUGGGCGCAAGCCUGAGGCAGCCAUGCAGCGUGUAUGAAGAAGGCCUUAGGGUUGUAAAGUACUUUCAGCGGGGAGGCGUUACCCGCAGAAGAAGCACCGGCUAACUCCGUGCCAGCAGCCGCGGUAAUAC